rnacentral:rRNA from 1 species
GAUGAACGCUAGCGGCAGGCUUAAUACAUGCAAGUCGAGGGACAGCACAGGUAGCAAUACUGGGUGGUAACCGGCAAACGGGUGCGGAACACGUACACAACCUUCCUUUAAGUGGGGGAUAGCCCAGAGAAAUUUGGGUUAAUACCCCGUAAUAUAGUUGAAUGGCAUCAUUUGAUUAUUAUAGCUACGGCGCUUAAUGAUGGGUGUGCGGCUGAUUAGAUAGUUGGCGGGGUAACGGCCCACCAAGUCUACGAUCAGUAGCUGAUGUGAGAGCAUGAUCAGCCACACGGGCACUGAGACACGGGCCCGACUCCUACGGGAGGCAGCAGUAAGGAAUAUUGGUAAAUGGACGCAAGUCUGAACCAGCCAUGCCGCGUGAAGGAUUAAGGUCCUCUGGAUUGUAAACUUCUUUUAUUUGGGACGAAAAAGGGCCUUUCUAGGUCAACUGACGGUACCAGAUGAAUAAGCACCGGCUAACUCCGUGCCAGCCGCCGCCGUAAGAC